AGAGUAUCUUAAGGAAAAAACUCACCUUCUUUUUAUAUUAAAAACCCAUCUUUUUCUGAUCUGCUAUGUUUAUAGUUUUAUGGAGAUGAGUUCUCGGCGAAGUUUGGCAAACGAGUUUGAUCUCUGUUUGUUAAAUGAUCCUGAUUUUAGUGUAUGGAACGGCCAUAAUAAUUUAGCAGAAUCAUGUGCUCAGAAAGAUUCUCAAGAGUUCAAUGAAGUUCCGUAUGAAGAAGAGGAGGUAGAUAUGUAUGAUGAAGACAAAAACUACUGGAUGGAAUCUUAUGAGAACAUUAUGUCAACAGAUGGAGUAAAAAAUGUUGGGCUUGAUGAUGCAAUAGUUCCAUUAAAUAGCACAAAAGAGUUGUCUGAAGAAGAGAUCAAUAGUAUUCGCCCAUACAUCGGGAAAGAAUUUGAGUCACAAGAUGAAGCUUAGGAUUUCUAUAAUCGGUAUGCAGGUAAUACUGGAUUCAGUAUUCGUCGGCACACCACUAACAAGUCUAGAGUUGAGCCUUUUGAAGUAAUACAACGCACAUUUUGUUGUAAUCGUCAAGGAGUGCGAGAUACUAGAGUUAAGCCUGUUGAACAAAGGCAAAGGAACCAAGCUGAUAUAAGGGCAAACUGUAAUGCCGCAAUGGUGAUAACGAAGAGAAACAGUAGAUGGGCUGUAACUCGUGUUAUAGAAGAACAUAGUCAUAAGCUUCUUUCUCCAAGUAAAAGGCAUAAUAUGCGGUCAUUGAGAUUCAUAAGUAGCAUCCAGAAACAAGUUCUUGUCAACAUGCGUUUAGCAGGUGUCAAAACAAACAAAAUGAUGAACUACUUAACAGUUGAAUCAGGUGGAGUUAGAAACAUUGGGUUUUUUUCCAAAAGAUGCAAGGUACUUUUUAAGUACAAAACGGCAGUUAGAGCUAAAACAUGGAGAUGCCCAAGCGGUACUUGACUACUUUGAACGUCAACAAGUGGAGAACCCAUCAUUUUUUAAUUAAAUUCAAGUUGAUUCGGAAAGCCAAAUGACCAACUUUUUUUGGGAUGAUGCCAAAUCGAGGAUGGACUAUUCUUAUUUUGGCGAUGUAGUUUGUUUUGAUCCUACCUACAAUACAAACAGGUACGACAUGCCAUUUGUUCCGAUUGUGGGAGUUAAUCAUCAUUAUCAAACUGUAUUGUUUGGUGGUGCUUUGCUUUAUUCUGAAAGCGAGGAAUCAUUUGAAUGGGUAAUAAAACAUGGAUGAGAGCGAUGCAUGGUAAAGCGCCGAAAGUUAUUCUUACAGAUCAAGAAUCGACUAUUGGAGGUGCUAUUGCACGUGUUCUGUCAGGUACCAGACAUAGAUUUUGUUUAUGGCAUAUAUGUAGAAAUGCUAUGAAAAAUUUGUCUAAUGUGAACAAAGAAUUCGUUAAGGAAUUUAACAACUGCCUAUAUGGAUAUGAAACGGUUGAACAAUUUGAGCUAGGUUGGGCUACAAUGCUUAAAAAUCAUAAUUUGGAAAAAAAUAAAUGGUUAUCAACAUUAUACAACAAACGUGACCACUGGGCAUCAGUUUAUACGCAUGAUGUAUUUUGUGCUGAUAUGUAUACAACACAACGAAGUGAGAGUAUUAACUCUUAUUUUGGUGGAUUUUUGAGAAGAGAUAUGCCAUUGUAUGAAUUUGUUCGGCAGUAUCUAAAAGCGGUAGUAGCAAGAAUAGAGGCAUAAAAUAAUAUGGAUUAUGACACAAUAUAUACAUGCCCAGUUCUGAGAUUUUGUAUGUGUAUUGAAAAAAAUGCAGCUUUGGUGUACACAAAGACAGUUUUUACUAAAUUCCAAGAACAAUUAACUAAAUGUUUUUCUUAUUCUCAUGAAAGGGUGGGGAAAAUUGGAACAAUACCCACUUAUCAUGUAUCUAUAAUUGGAUUUCCGCAUAAAUUCCGGACAGUGAUUUUCGACUCUUUUACUAACAUUAGUCAAUGCAGUUGUCUACUAUACGAGUUUGCUGGUUAUUUAUGCAGGAACAUAUUAAAGGUUUUCAUAAUUGCGAAUGUUCAAAAUCUUCCAACUGAACAUAUUCUGAAACGGUGGACCAAAGAUGCUAAAUUUGGACCGGUGGUGUUUGACCAAGGUGAAGAAAUUGUAGCUGAUUGUCAAGAUACGAUUACAGUUAGAUAUAGUAGACUCUGUCAAGAUGCGACCAAUAUUGCAGUUAAAGGUUCGACAUCAACUAUGAUAUAUAAUGUGGCAGUACAAGUUUUACAGAAAGCUUUACAGGAAAUUGAGGAAGCUAUAAAAUCCACCCCACAAGUAAAUCAAGAUGGAAAACCUGAUGUUACACGGUAUGAGAAUAUUACAAGACAAGCAGAAACUGUAGAAAACCAGCUAGAUUUGCGAAGUUCAUUGAAAGAACCUCCAAUCGUAAAGCGUAAAAGCAAACCUGGUAGAAGGAAGUCAUGGGUUAACAAACUCAAUAGGGACUGAAAGGACAAGGAAAACAAGACCAAAAGAUUCACCAAGGUUGCCGGCAUCAACAUCAGUUGAAUUGAACAAUGCCAACUCUCAAGACAAACAACGGAAGAAAGCAAAAAAAUCAGUUGGAUUAGAUAAUGCUAACUCUCAAGAUAAGCAACCCAAGAAAAGAAAAAGAUUUAUACAUAUUUCAGCGUCAAACAUGGGAGGUUUCAGCGAAAUAAGUAGUCAUCAACCUGAAACUAUAAGGUGUGUGUUUUUCGUCGUCUAAUAAUGAUCUGGCAGAUUCUCCUCAUAAUAAUGAUUUGGCAGAUACCAAUCUCUAGUGAUAUAUGCUAACUGCUCUUUGUUUUAUACCUGUACAGUUCCAUAAGUAGAAAUUCUGACAUGCGAAACCAAUCGAGUCAAAUGAAUGAAAUCAAUCUUAAUAUUGAUCUUACUGGUCAUUGUUGGGUGAUAUUACUUUCGUAUAUUUAGUUUAAUGAUUGUAUAUUUAUAUUCCUCCCCUAUAAUGACUAAUCAAUAUAUUCUUUUCGGGUUACAUAUUUGAAUGCUUGCUAUUGGUAUCAUCAAGAAGGACCCAUUGCAGAAAGAGCAAAAUGGUGUCGCAAGAGUUUUCUUUAGAUUUUGUAACUAUGAAUGCUAUGUGGUUCAUGUAUUUUGGAUGGUUUGUAUUCGAUUGGUGUGAUUGGUCAGCAGCGCCGUAGCCAGAGAUUUGACAGCCGGACAAUCCAUCAUCAAAACGAACAUAAACUUAAAUGGUGGCAAAUUUUGUUAAUAGCUAUGGCCACCAUUUUCUUAGUCGGUCUUCUACUCUCUCUUUUACUGUUUCUGUUGUUAUAAUAGAUGAUUAUCUGCGAAGACGUGGUCCUAGACCUUGUACAUG